AAGGUUAUUAGGAUAUGGGGGAAGUAGAGAUGUUUGGAAAUAGUUUUUUUGGGGUGAUUCCGAUCUUCAUUUUUCUCACUCCAGUCCACUAGCAAACACCAAACAUGAAUCAGCAGCUGAAGUCCAGACACCACACACAAAUCAGUAAGGGCAGUUCAAUCCAGAAGAAACCUCAGGGCUUGCCAAUUGGCCCGAGUCCUCCAUAGAAGUGCUAAGAAGCUGCAGGGACCUCACAAAAUGUUCUCUGAAUGGAGUCUGGCGAGGAGAGAGCUGAGAGUCUGAGUGGAGAGAGAACACUUGAAGAAAACAAGACAAUUGCAAAUACAGAUUUGUUGCUGUUUUAAACCAAAACAAAAAAAAAUCAAGGACUUGUUCUUGGAGUAUAUUUUCGGGCUCCUCCCAGGUACAGCUGAUAGGAGUGAAUUUACUUCUUAUCACUCAUUACAGCUUGUUUUUGUUAUUUAAUUAAAUAUUUAAAGUAUUCUUUGUAUGCCUCUAAGGAAAAAUUGGUUUUUGCCAUGUGCAGCUUGUCCUUGUGAUUGUAUGCAGCUUGAACUUAUGAGAACUUUACUCAUGUAACCUUUCAUAACCCUCAGAGUAUAAAUUGUCUGGGGCUCUGAAUAAAGUUGGGUUUUGCAUAAGA
rnacentral:sRNA from 1 species